UAGAGGAAGUAAAAGUCGUAACAAGGUUUCCGUAGGUGAACCUGCGGAAGGAUCAUUCAUAAUCAAGUGUUUUUAUGGCACUUUAAAUCCAUAUCCACCUUGUGUGCAAUGUCAUCUCACUGGGGUUACGUUUGUAAAAUUUCGUGAUCCGUUUGGGAUUUAUAUCUACUCAGAACUUUAGUCAUUUUGUCUGAAACAUAUUAUGAAUAACUUAAUUCAAAAUACAACUUUCAACAACGGAUCUCUUGGCUCUCGCAUCGAUGAAGAACGCAGCGAAAUGCGAUACGUAAUGUGAAUUGCAGAAUUCAGUGAAUCAUCGAAUCUUUGAACGCAUAUUGCGCUCUCUGGUAUUCCGGAGAGCAUGCUUGUUUGAGUAUCAGUAAACACCUCAACUCCCUUUCUUCUUGAAAUGGAGCUGGACUUGAGUGAUCCCAACGCUUUAUUCAUAAAGUGGCGGGUUACUUGAAAUGCAGGUGCAGCUGGACUUUUCUCUGAGCUAUAAGCAUAUCUAUUUAGUCUGCCUCAAAAACAGAUUAUUACCUUUGCUGCAGCUAACAUAAAGGAGAUUAGUUCUUGUGCUGACUGAUGCAGGAUUCACAAAGACCGCUUCGGCUGUCUUUGUAAACUCGAUCUCAAAUCAAGUAAGACUACCCGCUGAACUUAAGCAUAUCAUA
rnacentral:rRNA from 2 species